AACGAACGCUGGCGGCAGGCCUAACACAUGCAAGUCGAACGCAUCGCAAGAUGAGUGGCGCACGGGUGAGUAACACGUGGGAAUGUACCCUUUGGUUCGGAAUAACGUUUGGAAACGAACGCUAAUACCGGAUGAGCCCUGUGGGGGAAAGAUUUAUCGCCAAAGGAGCAGCCCGCGUCUGAUUAGCUAGUUGGUGGGGUAAAGGCCUACCAAGGCGACGAUCAGUAGCUGGUCUGAGAGGAUGAUCAGCCACACUGGGACUGAGACACGGCCCAGACUCCUACGGGAGGCAGCAGUGGGGAAUAUUGGACAAUGGGGGGAACCCUGAUCCAGCCAUGCCGCGUGUGUGAAGAAGGCCUUAUGGUUGUAAAGCACUUUAAGCGAGGAGGAGGCUCUUUUGGUUAAUACCCAAGAUGAGUGGUCGUUACUCGCAGAAUAAGCACCGGCUAACUCUGUGCCAGCCGCCGCAGUAAUAC
rnacentral:rRNA from 1 species